UACGUAGGGGGCAAGCGUUGUCCGGAUUCAUUGGGCGUAAAGAGCUUGUAGGCGGUCUGUCGCGUCUGCUGUGAAAAUCCGGGGCUCAACCCCGGACUUGCAGUGGGUACGGGCAGACUAGAGUGUGGUAGGGGAGACUGGAAUUCCUGGUGUAGCGGUGAAAUGCGCAGAUAUCAGGAGGAACACCGAUGGCGAAGGCAGAUCUCUGGGCCGUAACUGACGCUGAGGAGCGAAAGCAUGGGGAGCGAACAGG
rnacentral:rRNA from 1 species